GAUUAAUUCGAUGCAACGCGGAGAACCUUACCUGGGUUUGACAUACACGGAAAUCCGGCAGAGAUGUCGGGUCCUUUUAGGGUCGUGUACAGGUGGUGCAUGGCUGUCGUCAGCUCGUGUCGUGAGAUGUUGGGUUAAGUCCCGCAACGAGCGCAACCCUCGUCCCAUGUUGCCAGCGGGUUAUGCCGGGGACUCAUGGGAGACUGCCG
rnacentral:rRNA from 1 species